rnacentral:rRNA from 1 species
GAAAGUGGCGCACGGGUGCGUAACGCGUAUGCAACCUACCUUAAUCAGGGGGAUAGCCCGAAGAAAUUCGGAUUAACACCGCAUAAAAUCACGGUACAGCAUUGUACCAUGAUCAAAUAUUUAUAAGAUUAAGAUGGGCAUGCGUGACAUUAGUUAGUUGGCGGGGUAACGGCCCACCAAGACCACGAUGUCUAGGGGAUCUGAGAGGAUGACCCCCCACACUGGUACUGAGACACGGACCAGACUCCUACGGGAGGCAGCAGUAAGGAAUAUUGGUCAAUGGAGGCAACUCUGAACCAGCCAUGCCGCGUGCAGGAAGACAGCCCUCUGGGUCGUAAACUGCUUUUAUUCGGGAAUAAACCACAUUACGUGUAGUGUGCUGAAUGUACCGAAGGAAUAAGGAUCGGCUAACUCCGUGCCAGCAGCCGCGGUAAUACGGAGGAUCCAAGCGUUAUCCGGAUUUAUUGGGUUUAAAGGGUGCGUAGG